CUCUUCUUGAUGUGGUAGGUGAGGAUGUAGUCCACUCGCCUCCUGCCGUCCUGGAAGUACAGACCCUGCCGGCAUUGAGUGUUCUCCUCGGGAGUGAGAGACUUCAGGAGCUGAGAGGAGAGAGGAGGCCAGAACAUGAAUUGAAGCAAGCCGCGGGUCACCAAGUGAUCCCUGUUGUUACUUGAGAGGAGUGAGAGGAGCCAGGAGCUAAUAUUAGAUUCAACUAUAAAGCCAUACAUCAAAGCCUCCAAGAUGCCCUUACUCACACACAUGGCUUUUGAAGGGAACUCUUCAUUGUUCAUGAUGGGCGCUUGUGUUUCCAGCACUGAAUUCCUCCAAUAGAUUGUGGAUCAGAGUUUAACCUGUAGAUGAAAAACAACAUGAAAUACAGAGAACCCAAAGGAAAAGAGGCAGUAGUUUCUGAUGCAAUCCAGAUGUUUAAAACCUCAGCCGUCGGACCACCUGAUAGACUAUAGUUAUAAUGACAUCAGACUUCUGAAGCUAAUUUAUUUUUAAAGGUUGUAAUGCUUUUGUCCUAUUUUCUUAUUUCUUUUCUUUUUUAAAAGAAUAUUUUUAUUAUUAUUAUUAUUAUUAUUAUUUUGUCAUUGAUUGUUAAACUGUUAAAUGAAAUCAAUUGACUCCAGCUUCUGUAAAGGUGUCGUUUAUAUUUGAAAAAGGUUUUCCCCAAACUCUGAAAUGGUCAGGAAUUUGUUCACACCAUUGAAGUGUAGAUGAAAUAUUAAUGUUGUUUCAACAUUAACUUGGUACAUCAGAUGGAAACACUGUUUUAUGUUGUCAUUACAUUUCAGUUGAAUCAAUAUUGAUUCAGCAUCUGUAUUAUUCAGCAUUGGUAUUCAGCAUGUUGAAUUAUUCUUUCAAUAUUUAAUAUUGUUUCAAUAUUAAAUGUGGAUACAAAUAUGAUACUGAACCAACAUCACUUCAUAAUGUUGAUUCAGUGAUAUUAUCAUUGAUUUUUUCAUUAUCAUUGAACAUUGCUUCAACAUUAACAGAGGGUGCAAGAGUGAUACUGAAGCAACAUCACAUGUUACAGUGAUGUGUCAAAGCACUUAGUGUUAACACAUCAACACUUGAAAUAUUUACAUGCUAUCUGGGUCUGUUCAGUGUGUAUAACUAAUGUGAGUGAGGAAUAACAGUGAUAGGUGAGCUGCAUUAGAGAUGGCUAUAGCCUAUGAUUGAAUUAGUUUAGAGUUCAGCUAACUGACUGACUGCACACACUUCAGUAAAUUAUUCCAUCAGGAUUUUCUCAAUAGCUAAUGAAUAACAAUUCACUGCCUCUAUUUAAAAUCCACAGCACAGUUUUUCAUCAGAUAAGAGUUCGUGUACGGCUGCUGAGUGCAGGACGAUAAGAGGACUGUUGGGUUUAACCGCAGUAUCAAACUGUGCCAUGGCUGUUGGGCUGCAUUAAAAUAUUUCACCACACAUUAAGA